rnacentral:rRNA from 1 species
GGGAACUACGAGCCAAGCUUAAAACCCAAAGGACUUGACGGUACCCCAUAUCCCCCUAGAGGAGCCUGUCCUAUAAUCGAUAACCCCCGUUUAACCUCACCAUUUCUAGCAAUUCAGCCUGUAUACCUCCGUCGUCAGCUUACCACGUGAGCGCUAGUGAGCUCAAUGUUUUUCCAACUAAACGUCAGGUCAAGGUGCAACACAUGAAAUGGAAAGAGAUGGGCUACACUUUCUAUCAUAGACUAUACGGAAGACUAACUAUGAAACCUAGUCAGAAG